CCAAUGUCCAUCUUUACUGUAAACGCAAAGAGCUGAUAGAAGAUCAAAAAUUUGCUUCUUUAUGGUCCGAUUGUUGGUAUCCAAAGCUGUUAAAAUGUUCAAAUUUAUGAGUUAAAGUGUGAUUCAAAUGUUUUCUUUAUUAUGGUCAUUAUGUUGAUCCUCCGAGACUCUGAGAAGAUUAAAAAGAAGAUCAAUCCCAUUGAAUGGUGAGCUGAUGAACGAAUUGAGAAGAUCAAUGGACAAAGACAUUUCAUGACGAAGUUGAGCCAAACAUUUAGCUAAUGAAACAGUAUUAUCUUCAUUUGGAUUGGUUAGUAAGGGAAUUAAACUUUCUAAAUCAAAUGUUUUCACAUUACACUUGGCUGCAUUUAACCUCUUCAACUGGUAACUCGCAAUCCGUGGAUCAUUAUGUCGAGAUAAAAGACCCACCGACGCGAUUGACUUUUUUCGUGGUAAUCGAUUAACAAGUGACCCUAAAGGACUUGAAUCAGACCAGGCAACAACCGAUGCUGCUCUACGAUUUUGACGAGCUAAUCGAUACUUAGCUUCUUCGGAUGGAUCCAUUGUAUCAUCAAUAUCAUUAUCAUCAAGUGAAUCAAUUUGCUUUUUUCUUCCUCCAUCUUGGUUUUGGUUAAGAUCAUUAUCUUUAACCUCACUGGCCUCACUUGAUGAAGCCAUUUAUUGAUUGGUGGAUUUAAUUUGCCGAUUAUAAAUUAACACUUUUCAUCACGUUAACAUGAUAGUUGAAUUUGUUUUACAGUUAAACAAGCAUAAAGGUCAUUAAAUUUUAAAAUUUCAAUCA